rnacentral:rRNA from 1 species
AACGAACGCUGGCGGCAUGCCUAACACAUGCAAGUCGAACGAGACCUUCGGGUCUAGUGGCGCACGGGUGCGUAACGCGUGGGAACCUUCCCUUAGGUUCGGAAUAACUCCCCGAAAGGGGUGCUAAUACCGGAUAAUGUCUUCGGACCAAAGAUUUAUCGCCUUUGGGUGGGCCCUCGUUGGAGUAGCUAGUUGGUAGGGUAAAAGCCUACCAGGGCGACGAUCCAUAGCUGGUCUGAGAGGAUGAUCAGCCACACUGGGACUGCGACACGGCCCAGACUCCUACGGGAGGCAGCAGUGGGGAAGAGUGGACACUGGGCGAAAGCCUGAUCCAGCAAUGCCGAGUGCGUGAUGAAGGCCUAAGGGUUGUAAAGCUCGUUUACCCGCGAUGCUAGUGACAGUACCGGGAGAAUACGCUCCGGCUAUCUCCU